rnacentral:tRNA from 1 species
UCCUUGGUGGCUCAGAGGUUAAAGCGUCUGCCUAUAAUGCAGGAGACCUAAGUUCGAUCCCUGGGUCGGGAA